rnacentral:rRNA from 1 species
UACGUAGGCAGCAAGCGUUGUUCGGAAUUACUGGGCGUAAAGAGUGUGUAGGCGGUGCUCUAAGUUCGGGUGUGAAAUCUCCCGGCUCAACUGGGAGGGUGCGCCGAAAACUGGGGUGCUGGAGCGCGGGAGAGGAAAGCGGAAUUCCUGGUGUAGCGGUGAAAUGCGUAGAUAUCAGGAGGAACACCGGCGGUGUAGACGGCUUUCUGGACCGUAGCUGACGCUGAGACACGAAAGCGUGGGUAGCAAACAGG